rnacentral:rRNA from 1 species
AUGGGACGAGAAGACCCUAUAGAGUUUGACAUUUGAUUGCGUAUUUCUUGUUGUUUGUUUUGAAUUUUUGCGUAUCUUUUGUUUUGUUGGGGUGAUGGGAGGAAUUUAUUUAACUCCUCUUUUAUGUGGUAUACUGAUUUGUAUUUGUUUUGAUCCAUUUAUUUUGAUUGUAAGAUUAAAUUACCUUAGGGAUAACAGCGUUAUCUUCCCUGAGAGUUCUUAUUGGCGGGGGGGUUUGCGACCUCGAUGUUGGAUUAAGGUUAAUUUUUGGUGUAGGAGCUGAAUUGAUUGGGUCUGUUCGACCUUUAAAAUCUUACAUGAUCUGAGUUCAAACCGGCGUGAGCCAGGUUGGUUUCUAUCUAUAAUGAAUUUUAUGCCUUAGUACGAGAGGACCGGGUAU